GAUGAACGCUGGCGGCGUGCCUAAUACAUGCAAGUCGAGCGAACGGACGAGAAGCUUGCUUCUCUGAUGUUAGCGGCGGACGGGUGAGUAACACGUGGAUAACCUACCUAUAAGACUGGGAUAACUUCGGGAAACCGGAGCUAAUACCGGAUAAUAUUUUGAACCGCAUGGUUCAAAAGUGAAAGACGGUCUUGCUGUCACUUAUAGAUGGAUCCGCGCUGCAUUAGCUAGUUGGUAAGGUAACGGCUUACCAAGGCAACGAUGCAUAGCCGACCUGAGAGGGUGAUCGGCCACACUGGAACUGAGACACGGUCCAGACUCCUACGGGAGGCAGCAGUAGGGAAUCUUCCGCAAUGGGCGAAAGCCUGACGGAGCAACGCCGCGUGAGUGAUGAAGGUCUUCGGAUCGUAAAACUCUGUUAUUAGGGAAGAACAUAUGUGUAAGUAACUGUGCACAUCUUGACGGUACCUAAUCAGAAAGCCACGGCUAACUACGUGCCAGCAGCCGCGGUAAUACGUAGGUGGCAAGCGUUAUCCGGAAUUAUUGGGCGUAAAGCGCGCGUAGGCGGUUUUUUAAGUCUGAUGUGAAAGCCCACGGCUCAACCGUGGAGGGUCAUUGGAAACUAGAAAACUUGAGUGCAGAAGAGGAAAGUGGAAUUCCAUGUGUAGCGGUGAAAUGCGCAGAGAUAUGGAGGAACACCAGUGGCGAAGGCGACUUUCUGGUCUGUAACUGACGCUGAUGUGCGAAAGCGUGGGGAUCAAACAGGAUUAGAUACCCUGGUAGUCCACGCCGUAAACGAUGAGUGCUAAGUGUUAGGGGGUUUCCGCCCCUUAGUGCUGCAGCUAACGCAUUAAGCACUCCGCCUGGGGAGUACGACCGCAAGGUUGAAACUCAAAGGAAUUGACGGGGACCCGCACAAGCGGUGGAGCAUGUGGUUUAAUUCGAAGCAACGCGAAGAACCUUACCAAAUCUUGACAUCCUUUGACAACUCUAGAGAUAGAGCUUUCCCCUUCGGGGGACAAAGUGACAGGUGGUGCAUGGUUGUCGUCAGCUCGUGUCGUGAGAUGUUGGGUUAAGUCCCGCAACGAGCGCAACCCUUAAGCUUAGUUGCCAUCAUUAAGUUGGGCACUCUAAGUUGACUGCCGGUGACAAACCGGAGGAAGGUGGGGAUGACGUCAAAUCAUCAUGCCCCUUAUGAUUUGGGCUACACACGUGCUACAAUGGACAAUACAAAGGGCAGCGAAACCGCGAGGUCAAGCAAAUCCCAUAAAGUUGUUCUCAGUUCGGAUUGUAGUCUGCAACUCGACUACAUGAAGCUGGAAUCGCUAGUAAUCGUAGAUCAGCAUGCUACGGUGAAUACGUUCCCGGGUCU
rnacentral:rRNA from 1 species